rnacentral:misc_RNA from 1 species
CUUCCCGGUGCUGCAGCUGGGAAGGGUAUAGUGAGGUGCUAAGAAAUUAAUAAUCCAUAAAGUUUCCAAAUAGCAAAGAAACAGAAUACUAAUUUGAGAAACCAUCUAACGUUUAUAUUUUUAUAAAUAUUCAAAAAAAGUACAUCUCAAGAAAACUAAUGUUUUCUUAGCACAACUGUGUUUGACAAAGGCUUUGCACUUAU